rnacentral:misc_RNA from 1 species
UUAAAAAAAAAAAAAAAAAAGGAUUUGGGAAGUAUGUAGGUAGUAGUAAUUGAAUUUGGGAUCCAUAUAGAUAGUAUGUUUGUUAAGCAGGUUUGGGUAAUUCAUAUUUCGCAUGUUGGCUACCCACUGUCAUUCCUAUUGAAGGGUGAUGCCAAGGUGUUGAUAACUACCUGGAGAACGAAAGUUUUUAAUCAUAUGAUUUGUCUUAAUGAGUCAGAGGUCUUUUGUGUUACUUGUCACUUAAAGUGUAAAAUGAAUCACUUUUGGAAGCAGAGGUUUUUCCUGGUAACAUUUAGCUUGAUAUGUUGCAUCAGAUUCAAGGAAACAAGUAGAGAGGAAUAAGAUUGUGUCUAUUGUGAGGCGAAAUUUUUGAAGCUAUGACAUUUUAUUCCAAUAAAUAGUUAUUAUUGGAGCCAGGUUGGCUAGGAAAUUUAAGAGCAAUUUGUUAAUCUGUAUCUAGAUUAGAAUCUCAGUAUUAAAGAUGGAAACAUAAGCAGAGUAGGAAAACCUGGAGAGGAACUGUGUCUGCAAGGAAUACUGCAAGAUUAUUCACAGGAGCUGAUAGAGCUGAAAGACUUUUGGAAGGGAAGCUGAGUGACAAGUGCUAUGGGAGGCAUUGUUGGGGGGCCAUUUUAAAGAGUAAUCUCACCAGUGUUUUGGUGACUUGUUUAGUUAGUAAUAAAUAAGAGUUUGUUUUGAUUAUGGUGAAGUGGGCCACUAGAUUAUAAACAGGCCAUUCUGAAGGGGAUGCAACUAUGCAUACCUGGCAAAUAUGGCUGAGGCUGGAAGAGCAUGGAAGAGUUUUGCUGAUGCUUAAUUGGACGCACAGCCAUCUAAUCCUUGCCUCUGGAUAAGUAGUUGCAUUUUCCUUCCUUUUCUUUUACUUUCUUUCUUUACUACAAUUCUAUAUACAAUCUAAAUCCAGUCGAUCUCAUUUUUUUAAUGUCCCAAGUCACUUUGACAAGGCAUAUGAGUCUACAGAGUGCUUCUUUGCCACUACACCUGUUGGAAGACAAUUUGGGAUUGAAUUUGAAAUUCUAACAAAAAUAAGUUUAAUGCGAUUGGUGUUACGUAGAGAAGGAGAAAAUGUAGAAAUAAGGAAAGGAAUAUGUA